rnacentral:rRNA from 1 species
UGUAAAGAGGGAUAGGAGAAUUGGAGGGCAAGUUUGGUGCCAGCAGCCGCGGUAAUACCGACUCCAAGAGUGUGUAUGAGAGAUGCUGCAGUUAAAAAGUCCGUAGUCAUAGAAGGGCAAAGAGAGAUGCGAGGUCUCACAGUGCGAUGAUGGAGGAGCCGAUGGGGAACAUAGUAUACCAGGGCGAGAGAUGAAAUGCCAAGACCCCUGGUGGACUGAGCGAGGCGAAGGCGAUGUUCUUGUAGGCAUUCGGUGAUCAAGGACGAAGGCUGGAGUAUCGAAAGUGAUUAGAUACCGCAGUAGUUCCAGCAGUAAAAGAUGCCGACAUGCUCAUUGGACACAGUGGGCAGGGAGAAAUCUUAGAGUUCGGGCUCUGGGGAUAGUAUGCUCGCAAGGGUGAAAAUUAAAGAAAUUGACGGAGCUACACCACAAGGAGUGGAUUGUGCGGCUUAAUUUGACUCAACGCGAGGAAACUUACCAGGGCCAAGUAUUGUGUAGAAACGAGCAAUACAGGAGUGGUGCAUGGUCGUUGGAAAUUGAUGGGAUGACUUUGACCUUAAAUGGUUGAAUGAGUGAGAUCUUUUGGACAUGUUCCGCACGGAACAGGAAGGAAAAGGCUAUAACAGAUCCGAGAUGCCCUCAGAUGCCCUGGGCUGCACGCGCAAUACAAUAGCAGGUAGAGAUAGAGACAGGAAGGUGCUCAGAUGGACUAUGUGCUGUAAGGCACAUACGAAAGAGGAAUUCCUAGUAAGUGUGU